rnacentral:tRNA from 2 species
GGGUCGUUAGCUCAGUCGGUAGAGCAGCGGACUUUUAAUCCGUUGGUCGCCAGUUCGAAUCUGGCACGACCUACCA